rnacentral:rRNA from 1 species
AGAGUUUGAUCCUGGCUCAGGAUGAACGCUGGCGGCGCACAUAAGACAUGCAAGUCGAACGGACCAAAGCUUUAGUUUACUAUAGUAGAGGUUAGUGGCGGACUGGUGAGUAACACGUAAGCAACCUGCCUAUCAGAGGGGAACAACAGUUAGAAAUGACUGCUAAUACCGCAUAUGCCAUAAUCACCACAUGGUGGUAGUGGGAAAGGAGCAAUCCGCUGAUAGAUGGGCUUGCGUCUGAUUAGAUAGUUGGUGGGGUAAUGGCCUACCAAGUCGACGAUCAGUAGCCGGACUGAGAGGUUGAACGGCCACAUUGGGACUGAGAUACGGCCCAGACUCCUACGGGAGGCAGCAGUCGGGAAUAUUGCGCAAUGGAGGAAACUCUGACGCAGUGACGCCGCGUGCAGGAAGAAGGUUUUCGGAUUGUAAACUGCUUUAGAUAGGGAAGAUAAAAGACAGUACCUGUAGAAUAAGCUCCGGCUAACUACGUGCCAGCAGCCGCGGUAAUACGUAGGGAGCGAGCGUUAUCCGGAUUUAUUGGGUGUAAAGGGUGCGUAGACGGGAAAUUAAGUUAGUUGUGAAAUCCCUCGGCUUAACUGAGGAACUGCAACUAAAACUGGUUUUCUUGAGUACUGGAGAGGGAAGUGGAAUUCCUAGUGUAGCGGUGAAAUGCGUAGAUAUUAGGAGGAACACCAGUGGCGAAGGCGACUUUCUGGACAGAAACUGACGUUGAGGCACGAAAGUGUGGGGAGCAAACAGGAUUAGAUACCCUGGUAGUCCACACCGUAAACGAUGGAUACUAGGUGUAGGAUGUGAUAAACAUUCUGUGCCGUCGCAAACGCAAUAAGUAUCCCACCUGGGGAGUACGGCCGCAAGGUUGAAACUCAAAGGAAUUGACGGGGGCCCGCACAAGCAGUGGAGUAUGUGGUUUAAUACGACGCAACGCGAAGAACCUUACCAGGGCUUGACAUAUACAGGAAUAAUUAAGAGAUUAGUUAGCUCUUCGGAGUCUGUAUACAGGUGGUGCAUGGUUGUCGUCAGCUCGUGUCGUGAGAUGUUGGGUUAAGUCCCGCAACGAGCGCAACCCCUGUCCCUAGUUGCUAACAGUAAGAUGAGAACUCUAAGGAGACUGCCGGUGAUAAAUCGGAGGAAGGUGGGGACGACGUCAAAUCAUCAUGCCCUUUAUGUCCUGGGCUACACACGUACUGCAAUGGCUAUAACAAAGAGAAGCGAAAUAGUGAUAUGGAGCAAAACUCCAAAAGUAGUCUCAGUUCGGAUUGUAGGCUGAAAUUCGCCUACAUGAAGCCGGAAUUGCUAGUAAUGGCAGGUCAGCAUACUGCCGUGAAUACGUUCCCGGGCCUUGCACACACCGCCCGUCA